UUUUAGUUUCUUAGAGACGAUUUGGCAAAUUCUUCAUGUGUGCAACCCACAUACUCAGCUCUGCUGCUCAUCCCACAAAUGCAUGUUCCUUACAAAUGUGGCACCAUUUGAAAAGGAACUAAACAGGCUUUCCAACAGUAUAAGAUUCAUUGCCAAAAAGCAUUGUUACCACAGAGAAAUAAUCUACUCAACACAAAUGUCCUUACUUUUUGUAC